UUCACAUAGACAAGAUAACAAAAACGAAUAGCACUUUCUUUAAUUUUAAUAAUUUUCAGGGGAUUUUCCAUUUUCCAGGUACUUUCAACAGCAGGUGUCUGACGCGGGAGAUGUAAUAAAGAUGCGGCGUACCUUCCGUGAAAAAAAGACUCUUUCCGUUAAAUUCCGGCAUUGUAAUGUCAAAAUAUUUUUGACCAAUGAAAAAGCUGUAAAUUCGCUCCCUGUUUAAAGUAUGGAAAUUUGGUAAAUAACAUGGAUCAAGCAUGGAAGAUUUGCACAUAAAGGAAAAUUUGCCAUUACAAAAUGAUAGUGAUGCUGUGAAAGUACUCUCACUGCCUGCUUCUAUUAAUAAGAGAGCCCCUUAAAGUCUUCAACAUGAGUACAUCCACUCCUAGAAAGCCCCUCACUGAUAUUAAACAGGUGGCUAGACCCAAAGACAGUGUGAAUAUAAAGACAAGUACACCAUUCGGGACCCCUCGACCAACAAACUU